GUGUUCGCUUCAGCAGCACAAAUGCUAAAAUUGGAAUGACAGUGAGAAGAUUAGCAUGGCCCUUACUGGGGAUGACAUGCAAUUUGGUGAGAAUAUGUAGCCUGUA